ensembl:misc_RNA Y_RNA Y RNA
GGCUGGUCCAAAGGUAGUUAUCUCAAUUGUUCACAGUUAGUUAUAGAUCAAACUUGUUCUACUCUUCUCUGCCUUCUCACUACUGCACUUGACUAGUCUUUA